UGAUGAGCAACUGUCACCACUGACAUAAAAGGGCAGUUGGUAGGCUCUGAGGAGCAACUGCCACAACUGACUUGAGGUCGAGCAGCAGCGUGAGAGAACACUGCUGCUACUGCAAGCUCCCGCUCCUGAGGCAGCCAAGUUCCAGUAAAAGUUGGAAGUAAUACCAAGAGUCUUGGAGGGACUCAGCCUCUGCAGGACACCAGAGAGGUUUUUAAUCUGGAGAAAUUGAAUUAGAGAAGGUCCAGAGUUGAGGACACUAAGAAGAAUGGAAGGUGGGGCUCAGGGGCAGGACGUACAGAAGGCAGAACAGGUCUCUACCAGACGAUGUCUUAGACUGUGGCAAGCUUUUGGACUUCCCCAGUCCUGCUUUGGGCCAACCUUGUGGCUGGACAUCUAUCCAUGAGGGGAUGGGUAAUUUGGGGUAUUUAAGUUGAAACUGUUUAAACUAUAUACUUUCUCUUCUCUUUAUUACACACUAAUUGUAUUAAAGUUCCUUUCCACUGAA